AUGACAACCUCCCAAAAAAGCACUGAGAAUUCCUGGCAGAGCCCAUGGGGGAAAAGCCAGUAGGGAUCCUGGCAGGGAUUGGUGAAGUCUUGGACAGGAAGCUGGAGGAAAGGGGCUUUGACAAGGCUUAUGUGGUCCUUGGCCAGUUUCUGGUGCUAAAAAGUGAUGAAGACCCUUUUCGAGAAUGGCUGAAAGACACACGUGGUGUCAAUGCCAAGCAAUCCCGGGACUCCUUUGGGUACCUUCGAGAAUGGUGUGAUGCCUUCUUGUAA
rnacentral:lncRNA from 1 species